GGGCCCGCACAAGCGGUGGAGUAUGUGGUUUAAUUCGAUGCAACGCGAAGAACCUUACCAGGGUUUGACAUCCUGCGAAUCUCUUGGAAACGAGAGAGUGCCUUCGGGAGCGCAGUGACAGGUGGUGCAUGGCUGUCGUCAGCUCGUGUCGUGAGAUGUUGGGUUAAGUCCCGCAACGAGCGCAACCCACGUCUUUAGUUGCCAGCAUUUAGUUGGGCACUCUAGAGAGACCGCCGGUGAUAAACCGGAGGAAGGUGUGGAUGACGUCAAGUCAUCAUGCCCCUUACAUCCUGGGCUACACACGUACUACAAUGCUACGGACAAAGAGCAGCAAGUUCGCGAGGACAAGCAAAUCUCAUAAACCGAUCGUAGUCCGGAUUGCAGUCUGCAACUCGACUGCAUGAAGCUGGAAUCGCUAGUAA
rnacentral:rRNA from 1 species